rnacentral:rRNA from 1 species
UGGGGAAUAUUGGGUAAUGGGCGCAAGCCUGACCCAGCAACGCCGCGUGAAGGAAGAAGGCCCUCGGGUUGUAAACUUCUUUUAUCAGGGACGAAGAAGUGACGGUACCUGAUGAAUAAGCCACGGCUAACUACGUGCCAGCAGCCGCGGUAAUACGUAGGUGGCAAGCGUUAUCCGGAUUUACUGGGUGUAAAGGGCGUGUAGGCGGGAGAGCAAGUCAGACGUGAAAUUCCAGGGCUCAACCCUGGAACUGCGUUUGAAACUGUUCUUCUUGAGUGAUGGAGAGGCAGGCGGAAUUCCGUGUGUAGCGGUGAAAUGCGUAGAUAUACGGAGGAACACCAGUGGCGAAGGCGGCCUGCUGGACAUUAGCUGACGCUGAGGCGCGAAAGCGUGGGGAGCAAACAGGAUUAGAUACC